rnacentral:rRNA from 1 species
UACGAAGGGGGCUAGCGUUGUUCGGAAUUACUGGGCGUAAAGCGUGCGCAGGCGGUGAUGUAAGACAGUUGUGAAAUCCCCGGGCUCAACCUGGGAACUGCAUCUGUGACUGCAUUGCUGGAGUGCGGCAGAGGGGGAUGGAAUUCCGCGUGUAGCAGUGAAAUGCGUAGAUAUGCGGAGGAACACCGAUGGCGAAGGCAAUCCCCUGGGCCUGCACUGACGCUCAUGCACGAAAGCGUGGGAGCAAACAGG